rnacentral:rRNA from 1 species
CAGGCAACACUAUCAAAUUGCGGGAACACCCUUAAAGACCUCAACACCAAGCGUCAUGGGAAACCAUGGCGUGGCCGAGCUAAUAGCCCCGGGUAUGGGUAACACCUUGAGGUAUGAAGCCUUCGCAAAGAGUAAGUAAAAUGGCACUCGGCUUCCAAAGGCGAACCUGCGUAAAGAAUCAUAAACCCAUAGAUGCGGUUCACGCUUUCUUUUUUUUUUUUUUUUUGAAGUAAAAGUCGUAACAAGGUCUCCGUUGGUGAACCAGCGGAGGGAUCAUUAUCGAGUUACCGCUCCUUAUAACCCUUUGUGAACAUACCCCAAACGUUGCCUCGGCGGGCAGCCGGAGCCCAGCUCCGUCGCCCGGAGCCGCCGUCUCGGCGCGCCCCACCCGCCGGCGGACCACCAAACUCUAUUUAAACGACGUCUCUUCUGAGUGGCACAAGCAAAUAAUCAAAACUUUUAACAACGGAUCUCUUGGUUCUGGCAUCGAUGAAGAACGCAGCGAAAUGCGAUAAGUAAUGUGAAUUGCAGAAUUCAGUGAAUCAUCGAAUCUUUGAACGCACAUUGCGCCCGCCAGCAUUCUGGCGGGCAUGCCUGUUCGAGCGUCAUUUCAACCCUCAAGCACCGCUUGGCGUUGGGGCCCUACGGCUUCCGUAGGCCCCGAAAUACAGUGGCGGACCCUCCCGGAGCCUCCUUUGCGUAGUAACAUACCACCUCGCACUGGGAUCCGGAGGGACUCCUGCCGUAAAACCCCCCAAUUUUCCAAAGGUUGACCUCGGAUCAGGUAGGAAUACCCGCUGAACUUAA